CAAUGACAGUAUUGGAUUGACUUGCCUCCACAGGGAUGAAAUCAAGUACCCUUUACCCCAAAGUAUUUAUGAAUGGGGCAGUAAUGAGAGGUGCUUUUCAUUGAAACACACUUUGUUAGACUCUGUUUCUGCAAAUUAAAGAUGAAAGAAUGUGGUUUUCCAUGUCAAAGUGAUUUAAUUCUAGCCUUAAUUACCUUCAAAAUUUCUUUUAAAUUAUAUGAGUUACAACAUUUGGGAUACCAACAGGAAAUCAAGAUGUUAACGAUGUGCCAACAUUCCGAUCUAGUUUGACUCAGCUGGCGGCAGUAAGAAUCAUCCCAAGAAAUGGGAGCCCAGCAGUGUGCAGAGAACGACUAAGCUUUGACAUUAUUUUCUUGACAAUUUCUAAAAAAAUUAAGGUUACUGCACUGCAGUUGUAUCUUGCUAGCAAGAUUUUGGUUGAAGGAAAAGAAGUUUAGUAAGGUGGAGUGAUGCAGAGAAGAAUCUAAGCAAGCUAAAUGGAAAAGGACAAUGUUUUCUUCAUUUUCUUUAAACAUGCUACAAAAUUUAUGGUAAGUGCCUUUUUGUUUGCUUUUCUUCUUUCUUUGUUAGUUUUAGGUGCUUUAUAUAAUGAUUUAAUGAUUUCUUUCUUUAAUUUGUUUGUAGAUUUCAAAAGGACAGAUGUAUGAUGUUUUCCUUUCUGCAUCAAGAUCAAGAGAAUCUCAUCAGCUGUGUCAUUACUUUCUUAAAUAUUUGUGCUACGUAUCCCUUCUUCCAUGAACCACAACAGUUGGUACACCAACAAGAAAACAAGGUGUUAGGAACACGAUACAUGCCAAUCCAGUUCGGCUCAGGUGGUGGCAGGAAGAAGUAUUGAAAGCAAGCGGAGUGUAGCAGCGUGAAGCCAUGCAGGGGGGAAACAGAAGCAAGCACAGGAGAAUGAUAAAGCUUUGAGUUUAUUUUCUUGAAAAUUUCUUCAAAGUUUAAGGUUACUGCACUGCAGUUGUAUCUUGCUAGCAAGAUUUUGGUUGAAGGAAAAGAAGUUUAGUAAGGUGGAGUGAUGCAGAAAAGAAUUGGAAACAAGCUAAAGGGAAAGGACAAUGUUUUCUUCUUUUUCUUUAAACAUUCUACAAAAUUUAUAGUUACUGUACUUGAAAUAUCUCAAUCAGGCAAGAAUUUGAAUCAAGAUAGUUCAUUCUUGUGUUCAUGCUGCUUUGGCACCAUUUACAAGAUUUCAAAAGGACAGAUGUAUGAUGUUUUCCUUUCUGCAUCAAGAUCAAGAGAAUCUCAUCAGCUGUGUCAUUACUUUCUUAAAUAUUUGUGCUACAUAUCCCUUCUUUCAUGAACCACAACAGUUGUUACACCAACAAGAAAACAAGAUGUUAAGAACACGAUACAUGCCAAUCCAGUUCGGCUCAGGUGGCGGCAGGAAGAAGUAUCCAAAGCAAGCGGAGUGUAGCAGCGUGAAGCCAUGCAGGGGUGAAUCAGAAGCAAGCACAGGGGAAUUGCCAGCAUCGUCUUCAUCAGCAGCUAAGCAGCUAAGCCAGCAUUAUUGGAAACUGAAACAGCAAGAAUAGAAGUGCAAUGUAGUGUCGUGAAUUGUGGUGAAUCUCAAACAUUUGCGCUUCCAACCAAACUAAAAGAGUUAGAGUCUGUCUGAUUCAUUUGAUAAAGGUUUUUUUUUUGUGCUAGUUCAAACUGAAGCCUGAAAGUAUUGUAACUAUCAACUGAAUGUUUCAUGUGGUUUAGGCUAAAUGUAAAAUGCAAUUAUACUUUUGAAAUCAAAUUUAAGGUGUUUUUGUAAAUUGGUGGACAAGGACGAUGUUAUUCAUCCUCGUGAGGUUCUUGCGGGUAUCUUUAAAACUCUUGAACCUUUCAUCAAUUAACGAUUUCUGACGAGUGAAUUCAU
rnacentral:misc_RNA from 1 species